AAUAGUGACAAGAGUGGUUGAAGUAGGUAAUAACUGUGACUUUUAGAGAGCUAGUGGUGGUGAGAACUAGUAGCAACUAUUACUGAAUUACGGCUAUAAUCAGACUCUUGCGUUUAAUAUGCGUUAAAUAUUGGAAAGUGAUACUUGCAGAUAGUAAGUAUAACUUGGGUGGUACCACGGUAAUAAUCGUCCCAAAA
rnacentral:ncRNA from 1 species